rnacentral:rRNA from 1 species
GACGAACGCUGGCGGCGUGCUUAACACAUGCAAGUCGAACGGUGAAAGCGGAGCUUGCUCCGCUGGAUCAGUGGCGAACGGGUGAGUAACACGUGGGCAACCUGCCCCUGACUUCGGGAUAACUCCUCGAAAGAGGUGCUAAUACCGGAUACGAAUCCUGCAGGCAUCUGCGGGAUUGGAAAGUUUUUCGGUCAGGGAUGGGCCCGCGGCCUAUCAGCUUGUUGGUGAGGUAGUGGCUCACCAAGGCGACGACGGGGAGCCGGCCUGAAAGGGCGACCUGCCACACUGGGGCUGGGACACGGCCCAGACUCCGACGGGAGGCAGCAGUGGGGAAUAUUGCGCAAUGGGCGAAAGCCUGACGCAGCACCGCCGCGUGAGGGAUGACGGCCUUCGGGUUGUAAACCUCUUUCAGCAGGGAAGAAGCGAAAGUGACGGUACCUGCAGAAGAAGCGCCGGCUAACUACGUGCCAGCAGCCGCAGUAA